GAAAAAUUCCGGCCACCUCGACUGUUUUAGGUGAUUGACGGUCUUCCUUGGGUGAGCGAUUUCGGUGUGUAUUGUGUUGAAUUGAAGACGCAGCGGGAAUAUCGAGCGGGUAAUCCUACAGGUCAGGCGAAUCGGGAAGGUGAUCGAGCUGCUUAGAGAAAUUGCAUUGGGUAAAUCUGGAUUUAUAUUGUGAGGUUUAUUAUGCUCUUUUGAGUAUUGUAAAUUAAGUUGUGAGAGUGUGAUGUAAUAAGUAAAUUGAAGAUUGGUUUUUGUAAUAUUGAGAGGUGUGAAGUGUGGUUGUUUGUGAGAAAAAAAUUCAGGACGUUAUUUGUAUUGAUGUUAAUCAUGUUUCGGAUUUGAAUUGAUUAUUCAAAAUUCGGGGCGUGACACCACCAACCUGCGAAACCAGCAUAGCUCCGAACGGUGACCUCAUCAGAAGGGAAGAGUAGAUCGAGUGAGAGUGGCUUCCACAAUCCCAUGGUUUUUGGUGGGUUUGUGGUAGACGGUGUCGGGGUGGUUUUUGGGACUGUGGAGUCUCAUUAAAAAGAGUCCCCUUGCUGCCAAACAUGGGAUAACUGGGAUUGGACUAGAUAAGAAUGUCCAAUCCAGUCCAAUCCCGUGUAACAAAC